rnacentral:rRNA from 1 species
GACGAACGCUGGCGGCGUGCUUAACACAUGCAAGUCGAACGGAAAGGCCCUGCUUUUGUGGGGUGCUCGAGUGGCGAACGGGUGAGUAACACGUGAGUAACCUGCCCUUGACUUUGGGAUAACUUCAGGAAACUGGGGCUAAUACCGGAUAGGAGCUCCUGCUGCAUGGUGGGGGUUGGAAAGUUUCGGCGGUUGGGGAUGGACUCGCGGCUUAUCAGCUUGUUGGUGGGGUAGUGGCUUACCAAGGCUUUGACGGGUAGCCGGCCUGAGAGGGUGACCGGCCACAUUGGGACUGAGCUACGGCCCAGACUCCUACGGGAGGCAGAAGUGGGGAAUAUUGCCCAAUGGGCGGAAGCCUGAUGCAGCAAAGCCGCGUGCGGGAUGACGGCCUUCGGGUUGUAAACCGCUUUCGCCUGUGCCGAAGCGUGAGUGACGGUACUGGGUAAAGAAGCACCGGCUAACUACGUG